rnacentral:rRNA from 1 species
UACGGGGGGGGCAAGCGUUGUUCGGAAUUACUGGGCGUAAAGGGUUUGUAGGUGGCUCGCUAAGUCACACGUGAAAUCCCUCAGCUUAACUGGGGAACUGCGUGUGAGACUGGCAAGCUCGAGUGCAGGAGAGGAAUGCGGAAUUCCAGGUGUAGCGGUGAAAUGCGUAGAUAUCUGGAGGAACACCGGUGGCGAAGGCGGCAUUCUGGACUACAACUGACGCUGAAAAACGAAAGCCAGGGGAGCAAACGGG